rnacentral:rRNA from 1 species
GUGAACGCUGGCGGCAUGCCUAACACAUGCAAGUCGAACGAACAUACUAGCUUGCUAGUAUAGUUAGUGGCAUACGGGUGAGUAACGCGUGGGAAUCUACCCAAUAGUAAGGAAUAGCAUUUGGAAACGAAUGGUAAUACCAUAUAAGCUCUACGGAGGAAAGAUUUAUCGCUAUUGGAUGAGCCCGCGUCAGAUUAGGUAGUUGGUAGGGUAAUGGCCUACCAAGCCUUUGAUCUGUAGCUGGUCUGAGAGGAUGAUCAGCCACACUGGGACUGAGACACGGCCCAGACUCCUACGGGAGGCAGCAGUGGGGAAUAUUGGACAAUGGGCGAAAGCCUGAUCCAGCAAUGCCGCGUGAGUGAUGAAGGCCUUAGGGUUGUAAAGCUCUUUCAGUAGGGAAGAUAAUGACGGUACCUACAGAAGAAGCACCGGCAAACUUCGU